UACGGAGGGUGCGAGCGUUGCUCGGAAUUACUGGGCGUAAAGCGUACGCAGGCUGUCUCAUAAGACGGGUGUGAAAGCCCGGGGCUCAACCCCGGAAUUGCGCCCGUGACUGUGAGGCUUGAUGCGGGAGAGGGAAGCGGAAUUCCUGGUGUAGAGGUGAAAUUCGUAGAUAUCAGGAGGAACACCGGUGGCGAAAGCGGCUUCCUGGCCCGACAUUGACGCUCAUGUACGAGAGCGUGGGGAGCAAACGAGG
rnacentral:rRNA from 1 species